AACGAACGCUGGCGGCAGGCUUAACACAUGCAAGUCGAACGCCCCGCAAGGGGAGUGGCAGACGGGUGAGUAACGCGUGGGAAUCUACCGUACCCUACGGAAUAACGCAUGGAAACGUGUGCUAAUACCGUAUACGCCCUACGGGGGAAAGAUUUAUCGGGGUAUGAUGAGCCCGCGUUGGAUUAGCUAGUUGGUGGGGUAAAGGCCUACCAAGGCGACGAUCCAUAGCUGGUCUGAGAGGCUGAUCAGCCACAUUGGGACUGAGACACGGCCCAAACUCCUACGGGAGGCAGCAGUGGGGAAUAUUGGACAAUGGGCGCAAGCCUGAUCCAGCCAUGCCGCGUGAGUGAUGAAGGUCUUAGGAUUGUAAAGCUCUUUCACCGGAGAAGAUAAUGACGGUAUCCGGAGAAGAAGCCCCGGCUAACUUCGUGCCAGCCGCCGCAGUAAUAC
rnacentral:rRNA from 1 species